rnacentral:rRNA from 1 species
UACGUAGGGUGCAAGCGUUGUCCGGAAUUAUUGGGCGUAAAGAGCUCGUAGGCGGUUUGUUGCGUCGGCUGUGAAAACCUGAGGCUCAACCUCAGGCCUGCAGUCGAUACGAGCAGACUAGAGUGUUGCAGGGGAGACUGGAAUUCCUGGUGUAGCGGUGAAAUGCGCAGAUAUCAGGAGGAACACCGGUGGCGAAGGCGGGUCUCUGGGCAGCAACUGACGCUGAGGAGCGAAAGCGUGGGGAGCGAACAGG